AAACAUUGGACCACUAUAUUGAUAAAAGAAUUGUAUUUGUUUUGGUGUUUGUAUUUUUCUUAAAUAUAUAUAUAUAUAUAAUUUUUGUUUUUUUUCCAAGCCCGAGUUAAAACACAGAAGUUGAUCAUUGAGUUGUCCAUUUAAAUCCACCAAAGGGUAAAUAUGCUUAUUCUGUUCCUUGGUUAAAGAAGAAGUACUAUCUAAAAUAAAAUGUUGAAGUUUGAGAGGACAAGGGAAAUUUCCUUUAGAUUUUUGGCAGAGAGUUAGCUACAAAUAAUAAUUGCAGUUUGUCCUAGCUAGACCUAACAGAACAGUUACUAAAGAAAGUCAAAAUCCUUUUAUCACAAAGUCAACUUUUUCUACUAGAUACUAGAUAGAUCUCCAAAGAUGAUGAAAUGAGAUGAGACUCCCUGCAAAAAAAUCACAAUUGAGCUGUAAAUACUAAAUAGUAACUUGAUGACAUAGCCCUAGCUACCCUCUUCUUAGGCAGUUUUUUUUUUAAAAACGACAUCACAUUUUUUGUUCUUCAUUCAAACGACAACACUUUGGCUAAAGCAAAACCCCUCAAUACUGGUAUAAAUAUAGGGUAAGACUUGAAUGCAAUCAAUUAUUUGUUAACACCAGUGUUGCCUAAUCCCAGCCAUACACGUGUAUUAUUUUGACCCUAAAUUAUGUUAUAACAAUCAUAUUAUAAUAUAACUCACAUAAUUUAUAAUUAUGUAUAUAUAACAUAAAAAUGUAAAUAAUAUGUGUUUAUGCUGUCCCAUAAUACUUAUCAAAGCACUAGGCCCUGAUUAGCAAAUUUGAGAUAUUAUAGUGAUAUUAACAAACACCCUUCCACACUACUUCAUUUUUUUUAUGAAUAUAAUUAUUAAACGAAAUUACUUUUUAUGUCUCUUUCACACGGUGGUCUACGAAUUGGUCUUAAACUACUUUUAGAAAUUAAAAAAAAUCUAUAAGCACUGCACUUGAGAUCAAUGCAAGAGGGAUGUUCUUGAGAAGCAACUGAGGUCAUUCGAGGUGAGCUCUUCUAGGUUUGUCUAGAGUUAAUACAGCAGCCAAGAUCCACCAAAAUUCACCCACCCACCUAAACAAUGAAAGCAUAUUUACGAAACUCAUCCAACUAAAGCGGCGACAAACAUUAAGAACAAAAGUCGUCUCUGGAUUUUCAGUGUACAUACAAUAAUUACAACAAAAGAAAAAUUACAAAUACAGAAACAAAAUCAAAUUUAAUAAAAAAGGAAGGAAUAAACUAACCAUAACCACAACAUUCAAAUUUGAUUAAUGUAUCGGGAGGGCAUAAACGCAUAUUAUAUUCAUUUUUAUGGUUAUAUGCAUGAUUAUAUGAAUUAUGUGAGUUAUAAUAUAAUAUGACUAUUGUAGUAUGUUUAUGUGUGUUAAGUAUGCAUGUGAGUCUGUUUCUUAUUAAAAUGGUAUUAUCAUAAAUUUGACUCGUUGAGAGUGUAUUUGUGAAUAUAUGUGUUUUAUGAUGUAGACCACAAUAUUAUGUGUAUAUAUUUGAGUUAUUCGGCACGAGACGACCCUAGUGAGAAAAUUAGCGGUUUAAUCACAAUGAUGGUUAAUACGUGACUCGGGGUGAGCUUAUGAGUAUUUUGGUCAUUUAGUACAUUACCAGGAUUUGUCAGGUAAUGAGAAGUUAUUUAGUGAUCUUUUGGGGCUAUUGGAAUUAAUUGGGGAAUGUAGUGUUAAUUGAGGAUUAAUGGGAAAUGGUGGCAAAAGAUCAUUUUGCCCUUGAGGGCAUUAAAGAGCUCCAGUUUGGGCAAGGGGCGUUUCAGUAAUUUCAUGCCCAUGGAAUUGACUUAGGCAAUUAGAAGCCUUCGAAAGAAAUCAGAUUACACUUCACUCCCUCUCCCUCUUCUCUCUCGUUACAUCUCUCUCUCUCUCUCUCUUAGUUUGGUUUGAGAUUCUUUGAUUUGGAGGAGAUUACUUGAAUUGGAGGCUUAGAGCUGGGAAUUGGAUUACGGUGCAGCUUGGGGUCGAAUUGCUCAGCUGAGGUAAUGAUUUAUACUCUGUUUAUGGUGAAUUUUUAGUUUGGUUUUAGUGUUCCUGAGUUUUAAACUCAAGGUUUGAAUUUUGAGUUUUGGUGAAGUUUUUAGCUUGGUUUUUAAAGUUUAUUUGUAGCUUAUGAUGUGUUGUUAUGAGUUUAAGACUCAAUUCUCGGCUUGGUUGAAGGUUGGAGACUGAUUUUAGGGGUUUUGGUUCAGAGAAAAUAGUUGGAAAUCUAGGUUCGUGGCGCGACCCUUAUGAACUUAGAGAACAGGGGAGGUGCCUCGAACCGCCUUGGCGCUAGGCGAGUUGCGCUGCGAUGCGUACCUUGUGGUUUUGGGCUCGAGGAUCUCUGACUUGUUGCGCGCGCGACCCUUAGUGGGGGGCGUCGCGACUCAAAUUGGAGAAAAUGUCAAAAUGAGGUUUUGAGUUGUGGGAACUCAAACCUAAGGGCUUGGGAAGGAAUCUACUACCCGGUUUAGUAGAAUUCGAGGUCUCGGAGGCUAGUAAUCGGUCCGGAAGCCUUUAUUCUCUUGUUAUUGAUGGUUAUGACUAGCGUUCACCGAUUGGCCCAGGAGGAAAGAUUCGUGCUCAGGGUCGUGAUACGUGUCUCGUGAAUGACCUAAGGUAAGAGAAAAUGGAAGUUGGACCAGCCAUGAGUUGGAGAGCUUCUAUGGCAGUGUGUACAUAUGCAGCCUGCUCGACCGCCACGACCGUGGAUUCAAGAAGGAACUAGGGUCAAACUCUAAUUUUGACGCUUAGGUCGGCGUGUUUUGUAUUCAUCUUUUGAGUUGUAAAUAACUUUUUAAAUGUGUAUUUUUGGGAUCCCAUGUACGAACUUAAACAUUUUAAUGAAAUUAAAUACUUCGUUGGCCAAUUUUUUUAA